rnacentral:ncRNA from 1 species
AUGGAUCAUGCUACAACAUACUUGAGGGAUUUUUGCUUUAAUGACCAAUCACAUUUCGCUCUCUGGCGAACUCACAGGACUGACGUCGACGGACAGGCUGAUGCCUCCCCCCUGGCUACUGUAUUUUCUCUCAUCUUGACUGUAUGAGGUGGUGCAUGGCCGUUCUUAGUUGGUGGAGUGAUUUAUCUGGUUUAUUCCGAUAACGAGCGAGAGUCUAGCCUGCUAAAUAGUAGCUGGAUUUUUACGUCCAUUCUACUUUUUAGAGGGAUAAGCGGUGUUUAGCUGCACCAGAUUAAGCGAUAACAUCAGAACUGUGAUGCCCUUAGAUGUCCGUGGCUGUACGCGCGCUGCAGUGGAAGAAUGAGCUGGUCUAUCCAUUGUUGAAAGGCAUUGGUAAACUGUUGAAACUCUAAUAUAAUAUCCGCUCACUGUACCAUACUGCAACAUAUUCGAGAAAU